rnacentral:rRNA from 1 species
UACAGAGGGUGCAAGCGUUGUUCGGAAUUAUUGGGCGUAAAGCGCGUGUAGGCGGCUUGACAAGUUGGGUGUGAAAGCCCUCGGCUUAACCGAGGAAGUGCGCCCAAAACUAUCUGGCUUGAGUACCGGAGAGGAUGGUGGAAUUCCCGGUGUAGAGGUGAAAUUCGUAGAUAUCGGGAGGAACACCAGUGGCGAAGGCGACCAUCUGGACGGAUACUGACGCUGAGACGCGAAAGCGUGGGUAGCAAACAGG